CGACAAGGUGCUGGGGCAACCAAUGGGAAAGACAAGACAUCUGGUGAAAAUGUCAGAAUGUGAAGAAGGGCAAACUGUGGCUUUUCUGUGGUUUGCUGUUAGGGCAGCUAGCUGCUGAUUCCUGGGAAGGAAUUUCAAUUCUUUCCAUGUGUUCAGGGAGAAGAAGGCAUUUGAUGGACAGAAGAAAGUUCAAGAAGAAUUUGACAUUGACAUGGAUGCACCAGAGACAGAACGUGCAGCGGUGGCCAUUCAGUCUCAGUUCAGAAAAUUCCAGAAGAAGAAGGCUGGGUCUCAGUCCUAGCGGGAGAGCCCCCUCCUAGUCCACCUGAAAACACCAAAUUCAACCAUCAUCUGUCAAGAAAUUAAAAGAACAACACCCUAGAGAGAAGUCAUCCACACACAAUCCACACACGCAUAGCAAACCUCCAAUGCAUGUACAGAAACCUGUGAUAUUUAUACCCUUGUAGGAAGGUAUAGACAAUGGAAUUGUGAGUAGCUUAAUCUCUAUGUUUCUCUCCAUUUUCAUUCCUCCUGCAACUAUUUUCCUUGAUGUUGUAAUAAAAUGAAGUUACGAUGAGUGAAUUCAA
rnacentral:sRNA from 1 species